CCUGCCCCUAGGGGCACUGUAGGUGUGGCUGCUGUGUUACAUGUCACAUGUCAGUAGGUGGGAAAGAUGAGAGAGACUAUGUCUAUGCUCAGUGUUCUGACCUAUCAACAUCUGACCUAACAUUCUCUGAAA